UAAAGAACGAAACUGGCAGUAUUUUAAAAUAUAAUUCUGCAGAGAACAAAGAGAAGUCUGGAUUCAUCAUAGAAUUUGUAAAAGGCCCAAUAUCCUGAUGAAGUGGAGGGUGUUGUUAGAGAAGGGAUAAAGACAAAUUUUGAAUCGUUCAAAGCAAAGAAACGAAGAGACGAAACUGGUAAACAAGAAGAACAUAACAAGAAAAUGGCUGUGUACAGCAAGAUGAAAAUUAAACAACAGAAAAAGGCCCUAAAAGUAAAAGUCCAGUAUACCAGAGGAACAAAAAGAAAAGGGCUCGAAAAGCAGUGGUGCAGAACAUGUCUUAUGAACAAACAGAUUCAUAAGACGAAGGAUCGUUUAUCGUCAGACCUCUGCCUUGGAGGUCUGACGAUGUUGAUAAAUUAGUAAAAAAA